rnacentral:rRNA from 1 species
CCCUUAGAUGUUCUGGGCCGCACGCGCGCUACACUGAUGCAUUCAACAAGCCUAGCCUUGACCGAGAGGUCCGGGUAAUCUUUGAAACUGCAUCGUGAUGGGGCUAGAUUAUUGCAAUUAUUAAUCUUCAACGAGGAAUGCCUAGUAAGCGUGAUUCAUCAAAUCGCGUUGAUUACGUCCCUGCCCUUUGUACACACCGCCCGUUGCUCCUACCGAUUGAAUGUGUUGGUGAGGAGCUCGGAUUGGCAGCAGUUGGUGGUUCGCCACCGGCUAUUGCUGAGAAGUCCUCCAAACCGCCCCAUUUAGAGGAAGGAGAAGUCGUAACA